GACGUAGGGGGCAAGCGUUGUUCGGAAUUAUUGGGCGUAAAGAGCUCGUAGGCGGUUUGUCGCGUCUGCUGUGAAAACCCGAGGCUCAACCUCGGGCCUGCAGUGGGUACGGGCAGACUAGAGUGCGGUAGGGGAGAUUGGAAUUCCUGGUGUAGCGGUGGAAUGCGCAGAUAUCAGGAGGAACACCAAUGGCGAAGGCAGAUCUCUGGGCCGUAACUGACGCUGAGGAGCGAAAGCAUGGGGAGCGAACAGG
rnacentral:rRNA from 1 species